rnacentral:rRNA from 1 species
GACUAACGCUGGCGGCGUGCCUAACACAUGCAAGUCGAACGAAGCAGCAAUGCUUAGUGGCAGACGGGUGAGUAACGCGUAGAUAAUGUGCCCUCUUGCGGGGGAUACCGUUUCGAAAGGAACGUUAAUACCGCAUAAAGUCCUUAGAAGGCAUCUUUUAGGGACCAAAACUUCCGGGGCGGGAGGAGCAAUCUGCGUACUAUCAGCUAGUUGGUGAGGUAAUGGCUCACCAAGGCUACGACGGUUAACUGGUCUGAGAGGAUGAUCAGUCACACUGGAACUGAGACACGGCCCAGACUCCUACGGGAGGCAGCAGUGGGGAAUAUUGCACAAUGGAGGAAACUCUGAUGCAGCGACGCCGCGUGAGUGAAGAAGUAGUUCGCUACGUAAAGACUCUAUCAGCAGGGAAGAUAAGUGACGGUACCUGACUAAGAAGCUCCGGCUAAAUAACGUGCCAGCAGCCGCGGUAAU